UUUGCCUGGCUGCUCCCUGUGUUUCUGUCUUCUGGGGUGGUGCCUUGGGCUGGUGGGUUUUGAGAUCUUAAGUGUGACAUUUUUCUUGCUAUCACCCAUAGACUGGCAUCAAUAUGAUGACAUAAUUUGCAUGAAGCCUCCUUGAACAUUGGAGAAAUUCCAGAACCUCUACACUAAUAAGAUGAAGAAGGAGCUGGUGAAGGGGAAGAAGAUAGCAGCCAAGAUCAUGCUGGGAUGCAUCUUCAGCAUCCUUCAGACCUGGAACCCCAUCAACCUGCAGAACUUCUUCACCCAGUUCCAGCAGUUUUAUUCUGUUGUCCAAGUACCUAUGAUUUACAAAGGGAAAGCACAGACCAGGCACAGCCUGGACCUUGAAGAGGAAAAGGUGAAGAAACACCUUGGGAGUGUUUAAAAAAAGAGAUGGGAUCAUUUUUGGAAGAAAGAAGUGGGGACACCCUGACUGAAGGCUGCCCUGUGAGAAGCAGACUGAGAAGGGGUCUUGUCCUCCUUUUCCUGGUGGAAGAUGCUAGACUCUGCUUGUUGGAAGAUGGCAAGAGUACUUGGUCAACCUGUGACAAAGGUGCAUGGCUGUAAGGGUUGUCAACUGUCUGGGCAUCCAUCCUGUUCUGCACUACUGUAUGCAGCUGGCUCCUCCAAGAAACAACUUUGUGAUUCAGCCUGAGGUCAUCUGGGCUGCACUCAAGAAAAUAUCCUUCUCUCAGUUUCAUGAAA